rnacentral:snoRNA from 1 species
AAGACUAUACUUUCAGGGAUCAUUUCUAUAGUUUAUAACUUGGAAAAUUGUUCUGAAAGUGUUGCGUCUCUCUAUCCACGAUGACGAGCUCUGAUACUUCUUUCUGAGCGUGAAUCUGAUGGAGAGUGAUGAGUAAAAUCAUCUGUUCUUUAUCAUUAAUGAUUAUCAUUGUUGUGCUUUAGAGUAUAUACGGGAGUUAUGAGCA